GACAAAGAUAAAAUACUCUCGGGGGGAGUCUCAGUGAUACCUUUUGUGGACAUUCCAUUCCAUUUAGAGCAAAAAAAUAUUUUCGAAAAUAAUGUUUGAACUCGCUUGUAGUUUCUAAACAAAUUAUUAAAAGAUGCAAAAAUAGUAAUCUGUGCGCCAGAGAGCUCAAUCCCAAGCAACAAUCAAGACGUAUUUUUCAGUCUUUUUUAACCUCCUUACUGUUACUAGGUCUGUCCCCUCUCUCCCCUCCCCUGCCGCCUUACCACGGUUUUCCCACUGGUCUUUGCGAGUGUAGUUUCCCUUGGCCAUUUUACAACACGCGUGCAAGAAAAACAGUAGAAAAUGGAGAUUGCCGACCUUCAAAGGUCGGAGCCACAAGGGGGAAUGAGGUACUGAGAGGCGUUUUGUUGACCUCUGAAGACAACCCCUGAACAGUGAUGUGUGAAGAGGGAACCAAGAAGAUCAAAACCUUGUAAUUAGGAUGUAGCAAUAUAAUAUCCAGGGAAGCAAAGUGAUUUACAACUUGUACUGCUGAUUAGUGUAGGUUUUUCUAUGUGGUUGGGGAGGGGGUUCUUGAUGUACAGUAACAGGACUCUAACAGAUGCUCAUCUUGCCCUUCGAGAUCAGAUGUCAACAGGAAUGAAGUGGAUCAAGUCUUCGAGCAGUUAUCUCUAGUAGUGCAUUAUGUUUUACUUUGCAAUCCAGCUUUUGGGUGAACACGGUAAACAGGUCUAAACAAAGCUAUCAAAUAAGCCAAGUUCUGCUCUGACUUAUUGUCCUCUGACAUGCGAUGUAUUUUCACCAAGGUUGAUUUGCACAGUCAAUAAGAACAGCUUUCCAACAACACUUUAUUUUUGAAACCAUUACUAAAUAACUAAGUGACUUGUUAGGCUACUACUAACACUUAUUUGAAGAGCUCAUUGAGUGAGUGAUAACAAGAUUACAAAAUUUUAUUUGAUUGAUUGGUGACAGAGUAAUUGUUUAAAAGAUAAGACAAACUGGCUAACUGAUUGAUUCACAGCUGGAUUGACCCACCGACUGACUACUGAUGACUGACUGACUGACUGACUGACUGAAUGACUGAGAUACAGACUGACAAACUGACAGACUGUCUGACAGACAGAUUUCUUAGCAAAUUGUUUGUUGGAUUUAUUGUCAAACUACUACUGACAUGUGCCACAUGCAUGCAGACUGAUGGACUGUAGAAUGGAUGAAUGAAACAACAAACUAACCGACCACUGAUCAUUGGCAGAUCGAGAUGGACAAACAGACAGACAGACAGACAAGCAGACAAACAGAUAGACAGACAGACAGAAACACGGUCUGACUUGACAAAAUGAAUUGAAAACCUGUAUUUCAUCGGGAGCCUCAGUAUAUUCUUUUGUUCAUGGUGUAGACUGUUUGCGGCUUCUGUUAUCUCUGAAGGCUUUAGAAGGAGAAUGAAACUUGACAAAAAUUGUGGACAAAGCAAAGAAACCUGGAUCGAAGUACAUUGCAUGUCUGGGGUAUUAAAUAUAGACAGUAUGGUCAAACCUCACUUGGCGACCGUACAUGAGUGUGGUAAAGUUCCAAAAUUGCAUGUAUAGCCAAAAAGUCUCUGAGAGAAUUCUAUCAAAAGCAUCCAAUUUAGUUUAAAAAAAUUUGAGAGGUUGCCUAUGGGUGGUUUGAUUAUAUCUUUACUUAAGGUAAACCUUGACGAGUACGUUUUCCUGGUUUCAUCUCCCCUGAUUUACGUGUUACCAAAAAAACUAAACAGAUAUCACCCACAAUUAAAAGCAAAAGUCGAGAGCUAGAAGCAUUAGCUUUGGAGCAGAAAGCUUCAGCUAAAGCAGACUAAUUAUUUUCUCAGUUACAAUUUCGCACAGCAACUAACCAAACAUUGAAGAGAAAAUAUUCUUUUUUGUUUUCCAUGUCUGUUUAAUUGGCUAGAACUAUAAGUUUCAACGGAUCAGGAGAAUUGUUUUUUGUAAACGUAAAAAAAUGGCAAUUUUUGGUUGUAGUUUCGGUCGUUUGAAAUUCAAAACUUUGUGGGCGAUGCGUACAAGAAAAAAUUGCAUGCUCUUUUGGUUACGAUGAUUUCAAGGAUUUUUUCAUGUAGAUUACUAGUGUACGAUAAAAUUUCAUGGUAAUUUUGAAUUAUUUUCCCGAUUUUCUAAUUGGUUUUGAAAUAAAUUCCGCACCUGAAGUCGUAACCUUCAGUUGUAAGUUUGGUUUCUAUAAGAUCGCUCGUUUUUUAUUUUGGUCGUGCUGUAGGUGUACCCUCAAUAUUCCUGAGUUCUUUCUCGUGAAAGCGAAUAUAAACAGAUCAAGCGCCGAAUGAAAUUCAGUUCUCUUCCGGUUUCGAUUUUCCUCACGUUCACUUGCGGUUAUUUGGAAACGAGCGUAAAACGGAAGCAUAAUUUAGAGGUUUUGGAAAACGUACUCUGAUCCAGUCCUGAGUGAUGAACAUAUUAUUUCUCCUCACUGUAUCGAUACAUUACCAAGCAGACUGAUGAUGAGAAUAAAGAAAAUCAUCAACUCGACUUAGGAUAGUCUUGAUAUACUACCAAAUUCUCAAAACUAACUCGAAAACACUGAGAGAAAUAAGUAAGGAGAAUUAAUAUGUCCAACUUGGAACAAACUAUCAUGUUUACAGUAGUCUUGAGGUCUCUAUAAAACUUAGCGAUACUUUUAGGAGUAGGUUUUAGUAAAUGGUUUGUUUCAAUGGACGCCACGAUACGUUUCAAAUUUUAUUUGGAGUUUUAAACUGCAUUUGCAACCUUGGCACAAAUUCUGUGCUUCUUAGGAUAGUCACACACGCUUACGUGACAUCAUGUCACCUAUCUACUUAGCUUGAAGACCACAAAAAGGGAUUUGAAGAUAGUAAAUUCACGUAACACUUUGCGUUGAGCCAAAGACAAUUUAUUUCGUUCGCUUUGAACUACUAAGGGACAUAUCUGUGGCGUAUUUUGUCAUGAAAAACGAGCUGUUUACUAAAACGUAGUCUUAAUCGUGCUGCAAAGUUUUGUGGAGACUUCACUGAACUUGGCUUAUUUUAGUUUAUCUGGUUCACUCAAAUGGUUGGAUUGCAAAGUCAACAACAUUUUAUUGAAAUAAAAACUGCCUCUGUUGUGUAUGAAAAAAAAAAUGAAAUAAAAAAAAAUAACCUAGCCAA
rnacentral:lncRNA from 1 species